CAAUAGCGUAUAUUAAAGUUGUUGCAGUUAAAAAGCUCGUAGUUGGAUUUCUGAUCGAGACAUCAGGUCGGGUCCGAGAGGAUCAUGUACUUUGAUUUGUUUUGAUCAUCCUUGGGGAGAGCAUUUCUGGCAUUCAGUUGUCGUGAUUGGGAUCCUCAUCGUUUACUGUGAAAAAAUUAGAGUGUUCAAAGCAGGCCUCGGCCUCUGAAUACAUUAGCAUGGAAUAAUAAGAUAGGACUUUGGUGGUCUAUUUUGUUGGUUUGCACGCCAAAGUAAUGAUUAAUAGGGAUAGUUGGGGGUAUUCGUAUUCAAUUGUCAGAGGUGAAAUUCUUGGAUUUAUGGAAGACGAACUACUGCGAAAGCAUUUACCAAGGAUGUUUUCAUUAA
rnacentral:rRNA from 1 species